rnacentral:rRNA from 1 species
GAUGAACGCUGGCGGCGUGCCUAAUACAUGCAAGUCGAGCGAACAGAUGAGGAGCUUGCUCCUCUGACGUUAGCGGCGGACGGGUGAGUAACACGUGGAUAACCUACCUAUAAGACUGGGAUAACUUCGGGAAACCGGAGCUAAUACCGGAUAAUAUAUUGAACCGCAUGGUUCAAUAGUGAAAGACGGUUUUGCUGUCACUUAUAGAUGGAUCCGCGCCGCAUUAGCUAGUUGGUAAGGUAACGGCUUACCAAGGCGACGAUGCGUAGCCGACCUGAGAGGGUGAUCGGCCACACUGGAACUGAGACACGGUCCAGACUCCUACGGGAGGCAGCAGUAGGGAAUCUUCCGCAAUGGGCGAAAGCCUGACGGAGCAACGCCGCGUGAGUGAUGAAGGUCUUCGGAUCGUAAAGCUCUGUUAGUAGGGAAGAACAAAUGUGUAAGUAACUAUGCACGUCUUGACGGUACCUAAUCAGAAAGCCACGGCUAACUACGUG